GAUGAACGCUAGCUACAGGCUUAACACAUGCAAGUCGAGGGGAAACGAUAGAGAAAGCUUGCUUUUUCUAGGCGUCGACCGGCGCACGGGUGAGUAACGCGUAUCCAACCUGCCCACCACUUGGGGAUAACCUUGCGAAAGUAAGACUAAUACCCAAUGACGUCUCUAGAAGACAUCUGAAAGGGAUUAAAGAUUUAUCGGUGAUGGAUGGGGAUGCGUCUGAUUAGCUUGUUGGCGGGGUAACGGCCCACCAAGGCAACGAUCAGUAGGGGUUCUGAGAGGAAGGUCCCCCACAUUGGAACUGAGACACGGUCCAAACUCCUACGGGAGGCAGCAGUGAGGAAUAUUGGUCAAUGGGCGAGAGCCUGAACCNGCCAAGUAGCGUGCAGGAUGACGGCCCUAC
rnacentral:rRNA from 1 species